GGAAAAUUUUCUUCACUGAAAGGAAAGUAAAUAAAGAAGUCGUUCUGCUUUCUACUUUAAGAAUGGCAGCAUUCAAAUUAUGGAUUAGAAUGGAAAAAGAGAGAACUGGUCCUUCUCUAGACAUUUCGGAACAGGGAAAGGAA